GAUGAACGCUAGCGGGAGGCUUAACACAUGCAAGUCGAGGGGUAAGGAGAUAGCAAUAUUUCCCUAGACCGGCGCACGGGUGAGUAACGCGUAUGCAACCUGCCCUUUACAGGGGGAUAGCCCGGAGAAAUCCGGAUUAAUACCCCAUGGAUCUGCAGUACCGCAUGGUACAACAGAUAAAGCUGAGGCGGUAAAGGAUGGGCAUGUGUGACAUUAGCUAGUUGGUAAGGUAACGGCUUACCAAGGCUACGAUGUCUAGGGGGUUCUGAGAGGAAGGUCCCCCACACUGGUACUGAGACACGGACCAGACUCCUACGGGUGGCAG
rnacentral:rRNA from 1 species